CCUGCACUGGGUCCCAGGAGACAGUUGCUGUGUCUUCAGUCACUCGAUCAGUGACAACAUUGGUUGGACUGUCAAUUUCUGUCCUGCCAUUCAGGAGGAUCGGCUUGCCCUCCAGCUCUCCUCUCAUGGGCACCACCGUGAUCUUAUACUCAGUCCCCGGGUGCAGACCAGUGAUGUCAUAUCGGCUCUUGGGGUCACUGCUCUUGGGCACAGUGACCUCAGCUACCUCC
rnacentral:lncRNA from 1 species